AGUCGAGCGGUAGAGAGAAGCUUGCUUCUCUUGAGAGCGGCGGACGGGUGAGUAAUGCCUAGGAAUCUGCCUGGUAGUGGGGGAUAACGUUCGGAAACGGACGCUAAUACCGCAUACGUCCUACGGGAGAAAGCAGGGGACCUUCGGGCCUUGCGCUAUCAGAUGAGCCUAGGUCGGAUUAGCUAGUUGGUGGGGUAAUGGCUCACCAAGGCGACGAUCCGUAACUGGUCUGAGAGGAUGAUCAGUCACACUGGAACUGAGACACGGUCCAGACUCCUACGGGAGGCAGCAGUGGGGAAUAUUGGACAAUGGGCGAAAGCCUGAUCCAGCCAUGCCGCGUGUGUGAAGAAGGUCUUCGGAUUGUAAAGCACUUUAAGUUGGGAGGAAGGGCAGUUACCUAAUACGUAUCUGUUUUGACGUUACCGACAGAAUAAGCACCGGCUAACUCUGUGCCAGCAGCCGCGGUAAUACAGAGGGUGCAAGCGUUAAUCGGAAUUACUGGGCGUAAAGCGCGCGUAGGUGGUUUGUUAAGUUGGAUGUGAAAUCCCCGGGCUCAACCUGGGAACUGCAUUCAAAACUGACUGACUAGAGUAUGGUAGAGGGUGGUGGAAUUU
rnacentral:rRNA from 1 species